UACCAGCGCCCCGAGUGGUCGGGACGUUUAUUGGGCCUAAAGCAUCCGUAGCCGGUUCUACAAGUCUUCCGUUAAAUCCACCUGCUUAACAGAUGGGCUGCGGAAGAUACUAUAGAGCUAGGAGGCGGGAGAGGCAAGCGGUACUCGAUGGGUAGGGGUAAAAUCCGUUGAUCCAUUGAAGACCACCAGUGGCGAAGGCGGCUUGCCAGAACGCGCUCGACGGUGAGGGAUGAAAGCUGGGGGGAGCAAACCGGG
rnacentral:rRNA from 1 species